CUCUGCUUGAGGAGAAGCGCCAAGUGCGCAUGGGGACGCUAUAGCAAUUCGUUUGCUGUCCUUCCUCUCCUUCGAAGAUGACAAGGCCUACCAUCGUUUCUUCCUGCCUUUGGGCCGUCAGGCAGUUGGUUGGGACCCGCUCCAACCCUCGGUUCUUCCUGCAAUACAGUGGAUACAAUUUGUCAUGGCUACUCUGAGAUAAGACCACUUUUUUAUCUGAGCUUCUGUGACCUGCUCCUGGGACUUUGCUGGCUCACGGAGACACUUCUCUAUGGAGCUUCAGUAGCAAAUAAGGACAUCAUCUGCUAUAACCUACAAGCAGUUGGACAGAUAUUCUACAUUUCCUCAUUUCUCUACACCGUCAAUUACAUCUGGUAUUUGUACACAGCGCUGAGGAUGAAACACACCCAGAGUGGACAGAGCACAUCUCCACUGGUGAUAGAUUAUACUUGUCGAGUUGGUCAAAUGGCCUUUGUUUUCUCAAGCCUGAUACCUCUGCUAUUGAUGACACCUGUAUUCUGUCUGGGCAAUACUAGUGAAUGUUUCCAAAACUUCAGUCAGAGCCACAAGUGUAUCUUGAUGCACUCACCACCAUCAGCCGUGGCUGAACUCCCACCUUCUGCCAACACAUCUGUCUGUAGCACACUUUAUUUUUAUGGUCUUACUUAUCCGAGCCCAGACAUUGUAUAAGAAGUUUGUGAAGUCAACUGGCUUUCUGGGGAGUGAACAGUGGGCAGUGAUUCACAUUGUGGACCAACGGGUGCGCUUCUACCCAGUGGCCUUCUUUUGCUGCUGGGGCCCAGACGUGUGUGGAGGAACCUGAUACUUUAGCCAGUCAGGGCUGACAAGAAGGUUUACACUUUGUGUAUUCACAGCUGUCAUUCUAAUGAUCAUAAAGCUGACUAAGCCACAGGACACCAAGCUUCACAUGGCCCUUUAUGUUCUCCAGGCUCUAACGGCAACAUCUCAGGGUCUACUCAACUGUGGAGUAUAUGGCUGGACGCAGCACAAAUUCCACCAACUAAAGCAGGAGGCUCGGCGUGAUGCAGAUACCCAGACACCAUUAUUAUGCUCACAGAAGAGAUUCUAUAGCAGGGGCUUAAAUUCACUGGAAUCCACCCUGACUUUUCCUGCCAGUACUUCUACCAUUUUUUGAAACUACAAUACUGGAACAUCCAGGAACUGGAGUUAUUCUACGCUAAUGGAUUGGAAAGAAUGUUGGGAAAGGACAUCUUAAAUCUUUUCUAACUAUGCCCUAAACUGCAGAACUCAAAGGAAAUAUAGUGCCAUUGUUAGUAGUCAUUCUAGAUGAAUUGGGAGUAUCUCUCCAGUUAUUCCCAGAUUCACUAGUGAUCCUUAAAGUCUCUAUUCAGGGAGAGGAAGAGACUUUCCAUCUC
rnacentral:sRNA from 1 species